rnacentral:rRNA from 1 species
UACGUAUGGGGCGAGCGUUGUUCGGAAUUAUUGGGCGUAAAGAGAACGUAGGUGGCUUGUUAAGUUCGGUCUUAAAGACCGGGGCUCAACCCCGGGAUGGAUUGAAGACUGGCAGGCUAGAGGAUGUCAGAGGAUGGUGGAAUUCCCAGUGUAGCGGUGAAAUGCGUAGAUAUUGGGAGGAACACCGGUGGCGAAGGCGGCUGCCUGGACCGAUACUGACGCUGAGACGCGAAAGCGUGGGGAGCAAACAGGAUUAGAAACCCUGGUAGU